AUAUCAAUAAGCGGAGGAAAAGAAACCAACAGGGAUUGCCUCAGUAACGGCGAGUGAAGCGGCAACAGCUCAAAUUUGAAAUCUGGCCCUUUCAGGGUCCGAGUUGUAAUUUGCAGAGGGUGCUUUGGCGUCGGCCGUGGUCUAAGUUCCUUGGAACAGGACGUCACAGAGGGUGAGAAUCCCGUACGUGGCCGCCGGUCUUCGCCGUGUAAAGCCCCUUCGACGAGUCGAGUUGUUUGGGAAUGCAGCUCUAAAUGGGAGAUAAAUUUCUUCUAAAGCUAAAUAUUGGCCAGAGACCGAUAGCGCACAAGUAGAGUGAUCGAAAGAUGAAAAGCACUUUGGAAAGAGAGUCAAAAAGCACGUGAAAUUGUUGAAAGGGAAGCGCUUGCAGCCAGACGUGCCCGCAGUUGCUCACCCGGGCUCUCGCCCGGGGCACUCUUCUGCGGGCAGGCCAGCAUCAGUUCGGGCGGUUGGAUAAAGGCCUCUAUCACGUAUCUUCCUUCGGGAUGACCUUAUAGGGGAGGCGCAACACGGCCAGCCCGAACUGAGGACCGCGCAUUCGCUAGGAUGCUGGCGUAAUGGCUGUAAGCGGCCCGUCUUGAAACACGGACCAAGGAGUCUAACAUCUAUGCGAGUGUUUGGGUGUCAAGCCCGGACGCGCAAUGAAAGUGAACGGAGGUGGGAACCCCUCGGGGUGCACCAUCGACCGAUCCUGAAGUCUUCGGAUGGAUUUGAGUAAGAGCAUAGCUGUUGGGACCCGAAAGAUGGUGAACUAUGCCUGAAUAGGGUGAAGCCAGGGGAAACCCUGGUGGAGGCUCGCAGCGGUUCUGACGUGCAAAUCGAUCGUCAAAUUUGGGCAUAGGGCGAAAGACUAAU
rnacentral:rRNA from 1 species